CCACAUGAUCUCCCCUCCCUCCCACACCCCUGCCCUGUCCCUCUUGGGGGUGAUUGAGAGAUUGGAAGAGUAGGAGACAGUUUCUCCCAGAAUUUGUUGGAAGGGAGUUCUGCUCCAACUAUUUCCUAUUUCCGAUGAGGGGCAGAGGAUGGAGACCAGGUUUCUGAAAUUGAUGAUUGAACAUGUCUGUCCUUUCCCAGCACUUCACAAUCGUGACACUAAUUUCAUCCCUAGAUCUGGGAAACUGUUUCACCACCCUUGAUCUCCAGGAUGCCUACUUUCAUAUAGUUAUCUACCAAUCCCACAAACAUUUCUUACACUUCAAAUUAGACUCAGAACAUCCAGUACCGAGUCUUUCCUUUCCAGUUUACUGCUGCUUCUAGGGUCUCCUCUAGCAUUGGUUGCCCUUUUUCCAUCAGUAGGGCAUAGCAUUAUUCCCUGCGUGAACAAUUGGCUACUCAAGAGUCAACCACCUCUAGAGGUCCAGUGAGCAACCUCCAGGGCUGUAGGCCUGUUUCAGUCUCUGGACUUCAUAUCAUUUGAAAGAAGUCUACACUGACCCCAGUCCAAAGAAUAGACUCUUAAUCAGAUUGCCUAACUAUCAAUCUCCCCAAAGAGAUGAUAUUCUCCACUCUCUGUUCAGUCUAAUCUCAACAAUGCAACAUGGCCUGCAAACAACUGCAAGAACCUGUCUAAAACUCAUCCACAUGUCAGCCUCCACAUUUGUCAUGCCCCACGUGAGACUUCACCUCAGAUGUGUAACCCCAAACAGACAGUCUCUCCACCAGCAUCAUAGUACUUCAAAGUUCUGGACUCUCUCUGGGGGUGGAAGGAGCCACUGAAGGUCUGUGUGAGAACCCAUUCUAGGAUCCUCCAUCUUCAAAGAUUCUCACAACAGAUGCUCCUCUUCUGGGAGGGGGGGGGCGGGACUCACCACCAAGGAAAAGUGGUCUGCACAAGAGGUCGUGCUCCAUAUCAAUAUUCUGGAGCUGAGCAAUUUUUUACGCAUGCCAAUGUUUCCUUCACAUAAUACAGGGCCAAUCCAUCAGAGUGAGUGAGUGAGUAAACCAACAGGAUAGAGCAAAAUCCCAGCCUUCAUGUGCCAAGUUGCUAAGGCUAUGUAACUGACACAUUUCCCAUUAGAUAGAAAUCUCAGCUGUCUGUCUUCCAGAUCUCCAGAAUACAAUUGCAGACACUUCCUUCAGGGUCACAAAUAAAAACUCAAUGGUUCUAUCUUCCACAGAAUUUUCCAGACAUGGGGCUUAGCAGAAACAGACUUCUUUGCCACUCCCAACAAUGUGAAAUGCUGUCUUUUCUGCUCCAAAGGAGGAUAUGGCCACAACUCAUUGGGAAAUGUCCUCAUAACACUGUGAGACUCGUAUCCUAUGGUAGGCUUUCCUGCCUCUACCUCUACUCCACAAGACCUUACUCAAAUAGUGUAAGGAAAGACUGUCAUCCUCCUUGCACCGUCUUGGUCAAGACAAGUGUGCUAUUCGAGCCUCCUUCAUCUCUCUAUGGCAGUGCCUCUCAGGAAGGAGCACGUUGCAAAACCCAGGGACCCUGAUCUAUCCUUGACCUUGUGAGCAUGGUUCCUAGAUCGCUCUUGAACAUGGAACUAACCUGUUCAGAUAUGGUCCAGUCAGUUCUCCUAUUUAACAGGAAACCAAGUACUCAGAAAACUUACCUUAAAAAGUGGAAAUGCUGCUUCCCCUCCUGGUGUUCCCUUCGAUCUUCCCAAGCCUCAGCUGUUCUGCUUUCCAAAAUCCUGGACUACCUGUUGGGUUUAAAGAUGAAAGUUCUAUCAAUUGGCUCAGAGUACAUUUUGGCCAUAACAACAGCCUUCCUCUCACCCAUCAAAGGCUUCUCAGUCUUUGCCCACCCUACUCAGCUAGAUUCCUCAAGGGCUUACAAAGCUUAUCCAGCCUCCCUCCCCCCAAUACAGAAUCUGGCCCCUCAGUUUGGUUCUCUAGGCCCUGAGGAAACGUCCCUUCAAACUGAUGGCUACCUGAUCUCUCCUUCACCUCUCCCUUAAGACUUCAUUCUCCAUAGCCAUCGCUUCAGCUAGACAGCCAUAAGUGCACUAUGCUCUCCCCUUUGACCCACUCUAUGCCACUGUUUAUAAAGACAAAGUAACACUGCACCCCAUUCUCUCUUUCUCCUGAACUUCUCUUUAGGAUACCACAUUAAUGAAAAGAUUUGCCUGCUAGAGUUCUACCCAAAAUCUCAUACCUCUUAGAGACCAGUCUACAUACGCUAGCUGUCAGACCUAUCAAGGUAGAAGGUGAGGGCUCUUCUAAGACUUUCUGGGUCUCUCCUAGGCUAUUUGUAUUAAGAGGAUGAAGGAUCAAUCCAUUUCCACUCAGACUUCAAAGAAAACUAAUGAAAUGUAGAUGUCAAACACCAUUUAAAGCAAUGUGGGGCAUAAAGACAUCAAAUCUGUGACAUACGCCAGCAACACUGGGUCUCAUUGACCACCUCAAACUUGUGGAAGCAGAAUUUGGAGUCUACUGCAUCAGACCAAAACUGAUCAACAGUUUUGGUUCCCAAAUGAGAUCCUUUACUCUGGAUCACUCAAAGCCAAGGACUUCUAGGCCUGUGGGAGCUACAAGAUCAAAAGUCCUAGCAAGUCCAUUAAUGGAUGUGGAGCCAGGCGUCAAGAAAAGAAACUCGAGGAACAUCCUAUAUGUUCUUAAAGAUACACAGCCCCACAAACAAUGCAGUUCAUGAAAGAUUUUUCUUUCCAAGAUUUGGAUCCAAAGUACAGUAAAUGGACAAAGGAUGCAGAGUAGAAAAUGUGAACUGCAUUUGUGCAUUAACCAAAUCCCAGGAUAGUUCACUGUGGUUCCUGUAGUGGAAGUUGGUGGUGGCAACAGUUCCUGGUUCUUCCCUGUUAAAGUACCUCUAAGAUCCCAAAACCAUUACUUGAAACUUUUCCAAAUAUCCAGGCUGAGGCAGACAUCUGGCACUGAAAACUUCACUCUAAAUUAUAGUUUGGCAGUUAAGUAACUGAAAAGCAGGGUCUUAUAGGGGCUGGCGUUGGGGAAACUUAACUUGCCGUGGUGCUAACCUGCUCUGCUUAUAAUAAAUUUAAAUUCAGUAUCUUUCAAAAUAUAUCCUCUGCUCUCAGAUCCAAAUCUUUUUGGCUAGGUCAGCGCUGCAGCUGGGAGUGAGCCUUCCAGCCUGGGUAGACAUCAUACUUCAGCUGUGCUCUAGCUAGCAUGUUAAAAAUAGCAGUGUGGAUGUUGCAGCUCCCGUGGAGACUUGGCCUAGUCGCCUGAGCUGCAGUGUCCACACGGUGAGCUAACAUGAAGCAGUUCAAUUGACCACUAACAGGCCCAUGAAAUCAGUACAUUGAACCGCUGCUAUAACUUGGAACAGCAGCGAUUGCUAAGCAAAUAGAGGGGAAACGUUGAGACCUGUCCCAGCUUUCACAAAAGAGACAAAAAUAGAUGGGGAGGGGAGGAGAUACUAGGCCGAAUUUUCAGUGUCCUCAACUACCCUAUAACUUUGCAAUUACACUGUUGUUGUUUCACAUUAGACUAUAGCAGCGAGACCUGCACAGAUGAUGUAGAAUUGCAGUGCCUAACUUUAGGCAUCCUUCUGCCUAGUGGAAUCCACAGCCCCUAGUAAAGCACCCAGGCUUCCUAUAUAAUGAAUGAGGAGAGCCUGACACCUAGGAAUGGGAUUUACAAACACCAGCAUGCUGAUUUGUCUAAGCCAGCCAGUAGGAAACGCCAAAGAGCGGUGUGUGGCCUAAGCCCUACCACCAACAAGAGACUACGGGCUAGUCUACACUAGAAUCACUACAGCUGCGUAGCUGUGCAUGCUUUCACAAAAUAAAAAAAAGAGAGCAGAGGUGGUCUCUUAUAUCCAUAGCCCAGUGGUUAGCAACCUCACCCAGGAUGUGGGAGACCUAGGGUCAAAUCCCCACUGUGCCUGAUUUGGAGUAGGAACUUGAACCCAGGUCUCCCACCUCCCGGGAGAGUGCCUUCACCACUGGGCUAUGGGAUAUUCUGGGGCAGGGUUCUCUGUCUCUACUGUUUCACUUUGUAUAAAUAAAUAUUCAUUGGGUCAGAGAGUGACUAAGUACCUCAGCCAUUGGCUUUAGGUGGGAGAUGUGGGUUCAAGUCCCUGCUCCUCCUCAGAUAGGGACAGGUGAGAUCUGAACAUGACUCUUCCCAUAUUAUAUAGGGCUACUAUAACCACUGGGCUAUGAGCUAUAAGAGGACAAUAUCCUCCUACUGUGUUUUGUAGGGGCCCCAAUCCGCUAGAUACACACUCUGACAGUCUUGAGCAAGUCCACCAUAUCGCUCUAACAUCUGAACUUUAAGAUUUAGAGCUAGAUCCACAAAGGGAUUGAGGUGCCUGAUCUGCAUAUGCAAAUGUCUGUAUCCUGGCAAAUUUAAUCAUUUUUGCCCACAAGUGAUUACACUUGCAGAACGGGGGGCACACUUAAUUGAAUCCAUAAUAGUGUAGGUCCCAAAUUAGAGGAUGUUCUUAAGAAAUAUGAUCCAGACAGUCACAAAAUAAUGAGACAUGGUGGAAACUCCUGCCAUUGCAUUGUGAUUAUUUUAUCAUGUACAUGUAGAGGUUGAAUGCUUUUGAUAGAACUUCAACACAAUACAAAAUUACAUCAAAUUGUGAUUUAAUGGCUUUCUGAAGCUUCUAGUCAGUGGUGAAAUGUCUUUCUAAUUAAUCAGGAUUGAGUACCACUGAAGCAGGUAAGGACGACAACAUUUUAGACUGAAAUAAACCAAGGUAAAUUUAACUGAGAAAAUCUCUUUCAAGCAUAUGGCAGGAUUGAGACAGAAGGGGCAGUAGUAAAUGACAGCUUCCUGAUCAUAGGAGGAGGCAGAUUCUGCUAGGGACAGGUGCUGACUAAAACUAAUCUUAAUCAAUUCAACUCAAAUACAUUAGAAAACGUGUAGUCACCAGGAUCAAACAAGCACAAAGUGUUCUUGUUUGGUAUGAUCUGAAACUAUGAAUCGGUACUACCAAAUAUACAAGAAAUAUGGCUUUAGACAGGCCACUUUUGAAGGAAGAAAAAUGAACAGCCGAGAAGAAAGAAAAAACUCAAUCUUUUUUGUCCUUCACUAUGGUACGUUGUGAUAUAAUAUUAAGUUUAAUGAUGAUAAUAAACAUGAAGGGCAAAUGUGCACUGAAUAAUAAUAGAUAACUGAAUUCAGAAACAUGAAUAUAUAAAGGUCUAUUUUUUCCAUCAAUACACACAAUUUACUCCAAUUAAUGCUAAUAGGAUUUACAUGCAAACAACAAGAGAAUAAUAUACCUUUCUAGAUUAACCCAGAAAAGACUAAGCUUACAUUUAAUACUCCAAGAAAAAAGAGCUAAGGAAUAUUGCCCAGAGCCUCAGAAGUAUUUGAGUGCCUAACUUCCAUUGACUUCAAUGGAAGCUAAGGGCCUAAGUAACUUUGAGACUGAUUCUGUCAUCCUCACAUUUAGCACCUUACUCUGUGAAUAAUGCCAUUGAAAUAAAUGGGACUACACAUGGAAUAAGGUACUACUCAACUUGAAUCAGGAUAGCAGAAUCUAGCUUUAUAAGAAGAGCGUAGGGUCAUGCUGAAAAAGUAUCCAGUACAGUGUACUAAAAAUGUAAAAUAGAUAAGAUAUCCUGCUCGUAUAUUAAAGCAAGAGAUCAGUUGAUAACGUUAGCACUGCUUAAAAGGAAUAUUACAAGGACUCAAUGUUGCAAACACAUGCCGUCAGGAACAGUGCUUAGCAUUCUGACUAGUCCCAUAGAAGACAAUAGGAUUAUUUAGGGCGGUAAGGAAUAUUCCCAGCACUAUGUACUUGCAGGUUCAGGCCUCAAAAUGACAGAAGUAGAGGCAUGUUCUUCAUAUCUUCCCCUACCAAUGGGGAACUAACCAACAAUAAUCUUGGUAAAAUAGGUGCAGUACCUUCCUUGAACCCUUUGAAAAGGUAAAAUCAUUUCUCCACUGUCUAUGGAAGAAGGGGGGAGGUAGAUCCAUGUUUUAAGCAAAGCUGAAGAAUGCUUUUUGUUCAAAUCAAAUUGUGAUCUGGAGCUAUGAUCUCUUUUGGUCUUAUCCUUUGGGAGUCUUUCCAUUGACUUCAGUAGGCAUCUUAUUUAGUGUAUAAAAUUGUAUCUUCUAUUUAAAAAUCAUUUUAUUUUACUAUUGCAAAUGUUUAACAUUUAAAUGAAAUUAAAACAUCUUCUGUGUUCCAACAAAAUUAAAGCUCUGUUGCCAAUCUUAUCAACAACCUGAAAACUUUUGGGGGCCUGGUCCUCCACAGCUAAUACCCUGGAGGUUUGGCUGAAGCUGCCAGGUCUUUUCCUGGGUAGGGAACUGCAGGAUUAGUAGAAGUUGAUAUUUCCAGAACCAAUACUUUAGGAGAUUUAGACUUCCAGAGGGCAGAGUUAAAGCUACAGAGCUACUACUCAUAAUUUGGUUGUAGGGUUACACAAUUUGUAAGCAAAAUACUCUAUGGCCUAAUUUGUAUUGAUUUGAUCUGUUCCAAUCUAUACGUAUAGGCUCCAGACACUAGACUACCGAUUUUGCUGCAAUGUUAAAACAAGAUUUACAGUGACUUAAUGCACUAUUUGUAUGCAUCUACUGUGUGUAAGUGAGUAUGUGUGAGAGAAGUAAAACCAUAAUUUAAAGCAGCCAAAUGAAAUCUAGAAGAAUGUUGAAGGUUAAAUCAUACUAUUAAUACAUCUACUGCAUUUCCAGGUUAUAAUCAACAUUGCCUUACACUCUUAGAUGAAAUGAAGCAUGAAGACAGUUUUAGUCUUAAUAUGUUCUAACAGUGCCAUUUUAAAUGACUGCAUUUCUUAUCAACUGUAGACAGUUCAAAAUAUCUCCAGGAAAAGAAAAAUAGCAAAAGAAAUGGUUCCUCGGUUGUUUACCUGGUCAUCCGUGGCCUCAGAAGGGAUUACUAGUACAGUAUCUCCUCGUUUUAAAUUAAGCUCAUCAGCAUUAGCUGCCUCAAAAUCAUGUAGAGCUUCAACCUGAAGAAAAUACAAAACAUGAGGAUGUCAUCUAGGGAAAGUAGUAAGAAAAAUUAAGUAGAAACAAAUUAUCUCUUUCGCAACUCACAUUUAACAAUGUGCAGCUGUACUGUGCUUUCAAACUCUCAAACACACUGCUAUGGCAUUGCCUGUCUUUCAACUGAUAUAAUUGCAUAUACACUCCAUUUUUUGUUUGAUAUGUUUGUUAAUUCCAUGUUUUUCUAUUCUCUUCUGUGAAGAAAUUCACAUAUUAAAUAUGAAUUUAAUUGUUCACUCAUUCCUUCAAUGACAGGUGGGUUCCCUCAACUCACAGGGAUCUGGAGGAUAGAUGAUGCUGCAACAUCCCAUAAGUACUGCUGCUUGGACAAAUCCUGCUAUCCUUAUUCAAAGAGUGGCAUCACUGGAAGCUUUCCUGAGGAAGGGUGAAAGGAUUUGGCCAACCUAUCUUAGGCAAACUGAUUAUGUAGUUAGAGUGAUGCCAAUGCCCUAAUGAUAUCUGUGGUUCUGAUCUUAUUCCUGAAGGAAUUAUCUUCCUGAAGCAAUCCUUCCUGUAAAUAAUAGUGAGGAAAAUGGUACAAUUCCAGUGGUAAGUUAAAGGUGUGGGUAGUGGGAAUCUUGCUGUGUGGACUGGGAAGCACUCUUGUUUGCUGGUAAAUUAGGGCUAUGAUAUUUCUCACUUCAACUAGUAAUUAUUGACAAGAUAAUCUGUUUGCAGAGCUAAACUGUCCAUUUAACUAAAUAAUUCCACCUCCAUAAAUGGAUACCCUGUUCUAGUUUCCUUGAUGGCAACUAAUCCCAUGGCAUCACUGCAGCAAAGCCAGGAAUGGUAGCUGUGCAUUCUCCCUUAACUCACAAGAGUUUGGUGAAAAAUAGAGGAACACUGUCAGUGCGUCUUAAGUCAGAGUCACAUGACAUGUCUCACUCUGACCUGUUACUUUUAAAGUUUGCAAAGAACAUUUGUGUAUGAGAAUAGAAAAAAAAACAAUCCAAAAUAACUGGGCAUAGCCAUGGCUUGUUAUAGGACUAGUUAGACUGAACUAUCCAAAUUAUAAUACAGAGCACAUGAACUUCUUUCAUCUUUGCUCAGCUUACCUACUAGUCAAUCAUUCUGAAAUAAGAAAUAUCAGGUACCUGGGAACCAAGAAACACAAAGGUUCUUAGGAGCCAACAAACACUUAGGGCAGAAUUUCUCAGACCUGUUCACUGAAAUACAAUGCUUUUCAACUUGAUCACUUUAAAAGAUACUCUAAUAAUACAUGGAAUCUUGGUUGCAUUGAAGUCAAUUGCAAAAGUUUCAUUGAUUUCAAUGGGACCAUGCCUGCACUGGUAGAUUUUCAGGCCAGAAAGGAACAUUUUGAUCAUCUAGUCUAAUCUGCUGCAUAAUGCAGGCCAUAGAAAUUCUCCCAACAUAUUAAAAUAUAUUCACUGCUCUGAUUAGAUUAGUGUACUUGCACAUUUGACUGAACACCAUACUUCUACAUGGAUCAUAUUUCCACAUAAAGAACAGUACAAGUUUUAUUUCCCCCUUUAUGUAGAAAAAACAAUUCAAGGAAAAAUAGCUUGACAUUUUUGCUAUUUAACCACACAGCCAUCAGCCUAAAUAACCUGUGCCCUUGGAUAUACUUACUUACACUUGAUGCUAGGUUUAAAGGAAUGUUUAAAAUAAGAGUGACUAAAUACUCGAGUAAACC